rnacentral:lncRNA from 1 species
GUCAAAUUGCGAUCAACUUGCUGGGUAAACGUUUGGGCAAGAGAGGGCCGACUGUCUAAAGAAGAGACACGGGGACGGCGAGCCACAACUCCUCGCUGUCAUCGGUGAGAUGAUGUUUGUUUUACUGCUCUGAGAAAACAGAUCCUUGUCCACGGUGUGAAAAUAAACUUUAAAAGAGAACUACAGCUGAACGUCACAGAACACACAUCUCAAGGUGCAGUCUGACGUGGGGCACAUCAGGGCAUCCCCAAAUAAUUUAAACACGGGGGCGGGGUGGGGGGAGAUCCGUCCUGAAAUGUGACCUGUACUGAGUGUGGGGCUUUCUCUUGUUUGAGGAGCUGGGAAUGGAGUCCAGGAUUCACACUCGAGACGAUCAGCAACGGGAGCUGCAUCCCAGCUCCUGCUAAUUCCUUAAAACAAACAAACAAAUAAAUAAAAUAAAAAUAAGUCUUAUAUUAAAGCUUGGUUCCAGACUUUUACUGGGUCCAUGAAGGCUCCCGGGAAAGGGGAACACAAUGGUCCUCUGCUGAAAUAUUUGUGAAUGGCAAAGCAGAAUUCUACGCUGCAAGCUCCCUCUCUACCUAACAUCAACGUUUCCAUUGAGAGCCGCGAUCUGCCGCAUAAGAAAAAUCCUUGUUUGCUCGCCAGUGACAUCACUGUCUCACCGAUCUUGACCACACACCGAUGACGUCACCACCUCACCAAUGGCAUCACUGCUGUUUUCAUUACACAUCUGGUAGAGGUCAGAGAGGAGAGGCCAGGCUUACACUUUGCGAAGGUGGCAAGUAGACAUAAGAAGCAAAAAGCCAUGGUUCCCCCCAAAUUUCAGAGUGACACUUGACUAAUGACAUGUGUUUCUCCAUGGAAUUGUGGUCAGCUAGCAGUCAGGGAGCGAAGGGCCAGCACCAGAAGUGAGCACCACACUCUUCGUUGUGUUUUUUUUAAAACUCUGAUAGAAGGAGCCUGAAGGGAGGACGGAGAACCUGAGCCCCUCCAUCAACACAGAGACCGAGGCUGAAGGACUCUAUGGAGCAUCAUCAGACAAAAUGGAGACCAUGCCUCCUGGGCAUCUAGAAUCUCAAAGAUAUCGUCUAGACGAACCAGAAAAAUGGGACAGCAGUGGAGCCGCAAAGAAAGACAGAGUGAGCUAAGACCACGCGCCAAGCUGAGGAGCUGUAGGAGGACUCAAAAAGAAAGGAACUGUGAGAAAAAAUGAAGGUCUGGCAGCUGCUCAGUGGAAGGGGGCUUGAUGGACAGAGGAGGCAUGAACAAGCACUGCCAUGUUACUUCCUGCUUCUCGCAGAGCUCAGUAUGCAGCAGCUCCUUCCUCACCUACAUCUCCAUCCACUCCAUCAUCACCUGCAUCUCUAUCCACUCCACCAUCACCUGCACCCUCACCCACUUAGGUACAUUUGGCAUGGAGGAAACAGAGAAUAGCUAGAGAAUGUCUCAGCCACAUCCGAUUACCUGUCAUUUACAUCUUAAGUGUUUAGUGCUCUUAGAAAUAUUUCAAAAUUCCAGAUUGAAAAGAUGUAGGAAUCCGCCCAGCUGCUGGGGAGAUGGGUGCCCAGAUACCAUGCUGGGUGCAGCGUGUCAGUGCGCUGUCUCUUGCGGACUGAACCUAGCUAUGACUAAAACAGUCUCCCACCCAAUCUCCUUUGUCUUUCUGAGUUUUAAAACCUCUUCCGAGUUCUCCUUGCUACAGUUUUUAGGGCACGGUGCUGACCACUGAUCUAAAUCAUUUGUAGAUCAUUGUCUUUGCACGUAUUCUGAGAGGCGAUGCCAAAUCCCCAGUUUUAAAACAGAUUAACAAAUAUUUCAAGAAGCCAGAUUGCAGAUGACUCUUUGCAAAUCCUAAGAACCUGCCUGCCACAAAUGAUCUUCUUGACAGAAAUUAUUUUUUAAAAAUGAGUUUAUCUCACUUAAACACCUAAUAUCCCCCCCCCACCCCCACCAUAAAAGCUUCUAUGUUGGCUCGGUCUUACAAGAAAUUUCUAGGGCGGGUAUUCAAGCCCUUUUAGCCCUCAGGGUGAAAGUUAUGGGAGAGAGUGUGUUACAUUUUGAAACCCACUUCCUUAGAAGACCGCUUCUGAGGAGCAUUGUUCAGGCUGGAGGUCUGAAGAACUUGUCAGUUUCUGCUUCCGUGGGGUUUUAUGUGUGUGUGGCCAGGACUAAGAAAAGCUAUUUUUGGCCUCUCUGUUUGUUUUAGCAUGGGUGGCUUAAAACAAUAGAAAUAACAUCCAAGCAAACCUACCUGGGAUGUGUGUGGAGGUUCACACUAAACUGUCCGGGGUUCUGUUCGCUGCUCCUAACUGUGGGGGCAAGCUAGCCAUGGUCGCUUCCUUCAGUGGCAAGGGGAUGGAUGCGUCUCUUGCACAUUGCUUCCUAGUCUGAGAGGAAUGAUUUAACCCACUGAGACGACCACGAAGGUAGACAUUUAGGACGUGGUAUCUCUCUGGCUUUUUGCUCAUUGGAAGCCAAGGUUUAUUUUUUUUUCCAAGUCCUUUGUGAAAAUGUCAUAGUGAAGUGAACCUGUUACAUAGAACAAAGCGUCUGUCUGUUUUCCUUUUGUUCUUAUUUGUUUUUUGUUGUUGCUGUUUUGGUUUUCAUCGUCGUUGUUGUUAUUGGUGCCGUUCUUCCGUUUACGGAAACCUCCAGCUUCUCUGCCGGGUGUGCUCGGUUAUCCUGCCUCUCACAAGGUGCCGGUAAACAUGGUGGAAAAUUUCCGGAGCUUCCUCCCCAGCAACAGGGUAAUGUCAGGCCAAGUUUUCUGAGGCGCUGCAGCUUGGCUGCCAGAGAAUGGAGAAACUUUGAUGGGAGAAGCUGUGAUCUCGCACAGCUUCCAACAGUCACAGAGGCACGACCUCCGCUUGGACCUGCACAUCUGACUGUAACACCCGCCUUUCAACUGCUGCGUCCAAGGGGCCUCCCACAAAGCCCCGCACAGUUAUUAUUGACCGGCAUGGGGAAGGGAACGUCUCAAAACAUGCCAUUUAAUCAAAGGCUCAGAAAAGCAAGUUUUAAGUCCCCCCGGGGGUGGAGGGAGGUGGAGGUGGAACUACAACAGAACGGGAGCACCAGUCCAAGGUUGAUAACGUGAAGAACUGGGGGAACUCCACACACCUGUGUGGGAUGCUGCAAGGGCCUCAGUACCCCGAUUCUGCGGGUUCUCAGCCGGAGCGAGGUUUGGUGUCUCUACUCUUUUUUUUUUUUAAUCACAUUUGAUCAUCUAUAGCAUUGGGCUGAGAAUAAGACAGAGAAUAUUGAGCCUCCACUGUUACAAAAGGCAGCAUCAGUACCCAAGAAUCUGGUCAAGGCCUGAUCGGAUCACUAUUUAAUCUGUCACAAAGAUGCUGAGUGCUGGCCUGUCUGAUCUGUCUCACAGUAACUGAAGGAACCCAGGGAGUCAGGACAGACAUUUAUUCCUGGUUAUAUAUGGAACAAAGUCCCAGGAUGUCCGCUUGUGGCCAUGCCACACAAUCUCCUGACAGUAACCAAGGUGAAAAGGUUCUGCCCGGCCAGCUCUGCGGUGCCUCUGCAUGCUGGCGUCAGUUGGAAGCGUUUAUUUAUAAACCUUUUGCUUCCUCGGUCAGCUGGGCGAUUUCAUCGCACACCCUUGGUUGGUAAAGAAAGUUAAUGUUUCGGGUCCCUGUUUGGCUGGAACAAAAUUGUAAUUAAAAAAAUUAAUUUCUUAUGGUUUCAAAGCUGUUUGUAAACCAUAACGGAGUUUUUAUAUGACUCCAGGAAUCUGGUUCAUGCCCAUUCUCAACAGAAUACGGAAGGGCAGGAGGGUCCUGGGAAUUACAGGAAAACCCAACAGAGGACAUAGCAAAACUGCUCCCCGCUGCUGCCCAGGACAAGGAGGGCAGCCGCCUGCAGCACAAGCAGCCACCUGUUGCUGGACAGACUCCUGCCUUGCCUUAAAAACCAAAGGAAAACAAAAUAAACCCUCAAGAAAACCCAGAGUCCUAGGGGUAGCGUAGGGAGCAGCAGAAAGGCAAGGGCUGGGUGCAGCCAUCUUUAGGUCUUCCAGAAGGGUGGGGCUCCAAGAGGAAAUGGUGAUGUGGGUUUCCCUUUAAAGACCGCUUUGCAUGCUUUCAAAAAUUUUUUUCUUCUUAUUUUUGUUAUGUAUUAUUAUUAUUACGUUUUUAUUUUUAAAUUUUUACUCGGUGGCUGUGAAGAACUUUACAACAAAAGCACAGCAGGACUUUAAAUGGCUUAGGAAGCCAGACUCUGGGUUAGUCGGUGGUUGGUCUGUCUGCAAUUGCCCACUUUCCCAGCAGCGGCAGCGCUGUAGUGCAGUGCUGGCUGCUGGCCCUCUCCUUGGGGAAUCAUUUCAUUUGGGAGGCUCUGCCAGGCUGACCCGGGAACCCUUGACCUUCAGGGAGACCUGUGGUCCCUGGGAGGUGGUGUUGGGGUGAUUCUCACCCUCAACUCGGAUUCGUCAAUGCUAUCUCUCAUCACAGGGCCUCACGGGCUGGGGGUGCACACCCCGAGUUUCCUAGCCACCAGGUUCAGCGCCACCCUUGGACAAGUCCCGAAUUCCGCAGAGCGCUUGCACUUUCCCAAAUGCUAUUUCUCCAAAGAGCAACCCGAUUUAAACAGAUUUCACUUUGCUCAUAGCAGACCCCCCUCCGCAGACUCGGUGGCUGGGGGACAGAGGUAAUCACAGGCCACCAGCCUGGCGGGACUCGCGAUGUCCCAAGGCUCCGGAGCGAGCGCCCUGUGGUGUUUUUUCUUUUGGGCGCGGAACUGUUUUCAGCUUCCUUUUUGUUUCUUCGCUUUCGUCGCAUUUCCUUUCUGAAUCUGCCCUUCUGCCUAGUGCGGCCCUAAUCUCCCUGAUCGCAGAGCUUGGGCGCGGGGGCGCAAGCGACCCCCGCAGCAGGGGAGGGCUCUCAGAUCACAAUCUGUGAGACACCUGCCUGCGCUCUGCUCAACUUCCUGCCUUCCUGCCCAUGUUACUGGGGUGGGUUCCAUUUCAGAGAAAAUCGACUUUUGAGUCUCUCUGGUGCCUUCAGGGCCCGGUGUGGGUGGGGGAGAGGGCAAGGCGAACACCACAUGGAAUGAAAAUGACUCUCAAAGGAAGCUUCCAGCCCCGCUCUGGGUCUUAUUACCGCUGUAACAGUGGGAGCCAUUCGAAGCAGCUCUGAGUGCCUGCUCCAGAGAUGAUGGUGUCACCGGCAGCCAGCUCUUCAGAGAUCCCUGUCCAGAUGGCCUGGAUGGACGCAUCCCACACAAAUGGCAGACUGGCUUUCAGUAACUAGUACUUUCUGUUUCCUUCUGCGAUGCUUUCUGCUCUUCACCUGAAUAGCAAGCAGCCAUAUAUUUUUUAAGGCAGACGGUGAUGUCGGAGCAGAGCUGUAUCACUGUGACUGCCAAGAGCCUCGGGGUCCCUAGCUAAGGACAAUCCAGAGACCAGCCUCCUGGCUUCCCGAAAAAUGGGC